AUUGAACGCUGGCGGCAUGCCUUACACAUGCAAGUCGAACGGUAACGGGCCUUCGGGUGCCGACGAGUGGCGAACGGGUGGGUAAUACAUCGGAACGUGCCCGAUCGUGGGGGAUAACGAGGCGAAAGCUUUGCUAAUACCGCAUACGAUCUACGGAUGAAAGCCGGGGACCGCAAGGCCUUGCGCGGACGGAGCGGCCGAUGGCCGAGUAGGUAGUUGGUGGGAUAAAAGCUUACCAAGCCGACGAUCUGUAGCUGGUCUGAGAGGAUGAUCAGCCACACUGGGACUGAGACAGGGCCCAGACUCCUACGGGAGGCAGCAGUGGGGAAUUUUGGACAAUGGGCGCAAGCCUGAUCCAGCCAUGCCGCGUGCAGGAUGAAGGCCUUCGGGUUGUAAACUGCUUUUGUACGGAACGAAAAGCCUUCUUUUAAUACAGGAGGGUCAUGACGGUACCGGAAGAAUAAGCACCGGCUAACUACGUG
rnacentral:rRNA from 1 species